UACGGAGGGAGCUAGCGUUGUUCGGAAUUACUGGGCGUAAAGCGCACGUAGGCGGCUUUGUAAGUUAGAGGUGAAAGCCCGGGGCUCAACCCCGGAAUUGCCUUUAAGACUGCAUCGCUUGAAUCCGGGAGAGGUGAGUGGAAUUCCGAGUGUAGAGGUGAAAUUCGUAGAUAUUCGGAAGAACACCAGUGGCGAAGGCGACUCGCUGGACAGACAUUGACGCUGAGGUGCGAAAGCGUGGGGAGCAAACAGG
rnacentral:rRNA from 1 species